UGUAGCCUUUCUAGUGCAAGUUUCAAUACACUUCAAUAAUAUUAUAUUCAAAGAAGUUAAUGAAUGAUACAUCUCUUUUUCUGCAAAAGACUAGAAGUGAAAGCCUAGGAGUCUUAAAUUUUUGUUAAUUAACUGAUUCAUUAAAUGUUGUUUUAUCUGCAAUGAUGAACACAUUUGUUUUGUGAUGAUCAAAGGGAAAUAAGUCAUCCUUUUAAAACUAUAGAAAGGGAUAUAAAUCAAAAUAAAUUUGAGAAUCAACAAUUUUCAGUUGUCUCGAAUUUUCUUUGGGUUGAAUGAAUGUACUGAGAUAAAUAUAAUUUAGAAAAAUGAUUCUAUAAAGUGUAGAAUUGUAUGUCCUUUUUAUGUACUAGAUUUGAAUCUUGAGAGUGGAUAUAAAAUUUCAAUAAAAUAUUGUGUCUUCUUUCAG